rnacentral:tRNA from 1 species
GGAGGCGCUUUUCGGCCGGUGCCGGGCCCGGACUUCAAAUCCGGUGGGGGGAGUUAACGACUUCCUCGGUGUGUUCGACUCGCACACGCCUCC